GAUGAACGCUGGCGGCGUGCCUAAUACAUGCAAGUCGAGCGAACAGACGAGGAUCUUGCUCCUCUUACGUUAGCGGCGGACGGGUGAGUAACACGUGGAUAACCUACCUAUAAGACUGGGAUAACUUCGGGAAACCGGAGCUAAUACCGGAUAAUAUAUUGAACCGCAUGGUUCAAUAGUGAAAGACGGUUUUGCUGUCACUUAUAGAUGGAUCCAAGCCGCAGUAGCUAGUUCGUAAGGAAACGGCGUACCAAGGCAACGCUGCGUAACCGACCAGAAAGGAUGAGCAGGCACACUGGAACUGAGACACGGUCCAUACACCUACGGGAGGCAGCAGUGGGGAAUAUUGGACAAUGGGCGAAAGCCGGAUCCAGCCAUGCCGCGUGUGUGAAGAAGGUCUUCGGAUUGUAAAGCACUUUAAGUUGGGAGGAAGGGCAGUAAGUGAAUACCUUGCUGUUUUGACGUUACCAACAGAAUAAGCACCGGCUAACUUCGUG
rnacentral:rRNA from 1 species